CCAGGAUAGAGUCCUCCAUCCUGUAAGUAUGGCCGACAUUCUUUAUUCCCCAAAUUGACUUACAUGUAUAAUCUGUCUCUUACACAUCACUGAGGAUUUCCUAAAUGGGAUCAGAAUCAAGCCCGUGGUUUGCAGCUGGCAGUGGGCCUUGGAUUUCCCAUUCUAACCAGAGGCUCAAGUGAUGUAAUAGAGGGAGUUAUCAUAAAUCCCUUGUCUAAAUUCCACCACCAGAUUAAAGGGAGGUUUGGGGCUGAUUGCCCUGUCUCUGUUAGCAUUCAGCCCUUCUCUGGGUACAACUAAAUCAUCCCAGCUAGGUGUGAUUCGUAUCCACAGGGCUCAUUUAAAAAAAUAGUCUCUGAAAAGCAAUUUUGUUGCCUUUGGCCUGCACCGGUGUCAGGGAUUUUAGAAAAAACAAUGCCCUUGGGAAGGUUAUCCCAGGAUUCCUCUGCAAGGUCUUCACCCUCUGUUUCAUAUUGCACAGCUUCAGUGGGGUGCUCUGUGGGUGUGAACAUGUAUGAAUGAAGAAUGAAGUUUAAGCGUUUCCAGCACAUGGCACUUAAAUCAAGUGUCUUUGCCAAGUGGUUAGGCCUCCCUUCUUGGCUAGGGUUAAGAGAGCGUGUUUGGAUUUUAAGUGGCAAAACCAGUUAAUAGAUUCCUUCCUGCAUCCUCCCUUGUCUUUGCAGGGCGCGCACACACAGACCCCAGGGGUUAUCAUAAAGGUAAAGGGAGAGGAGGAGAGACACAUCUGGGGAGUUCCUUGUUAAAAUACAGGUGACCUAUCACUAGGGCCUCUUGUAAUUCUGGAGGCAAAAUGUCACGUGACACAGAUGCUGCCCCACAUACCAUGCGACAAGAUGGGGCACUGCCCCAUUUGCCACCUGUAAACUCAGUGUUACUCUCGUUGGUGCCAGCGCUGGCUUAACGCUAGUGUGAUUCUCCAUUGACUUCAGUGGAGUAACUCCUGGCUUACAGAGGUGCAGUGACAUCAGAAUCAAGCCCAUGGAUUUCAGCCAGUGAUGGGCCUCCCCGACUUGUGACUCUAGAGGGCAGCAGGGAGCUGCUGUAUGGCUACAUCUGGGGGGAUUGUCUGCUGCUGAUGGAGAUGAAGAUCAGUGACCUGAAGCUGGAUUUCUUUAUGGUGAAUUACUGAAAAUGUGCUAUGCCACCAGGGAUGCCCCCCCCUUUUUUGGGGGGUGGGGGUGGAUUUUGUUUUGGUGGCCAAAAACUAUUUCAGAAACAUGGUAUUGUGUAUGGCCUGUAGCAACUAAAGGUCCCAUAGCAUUUUUUUUAAACAGGAAAGGAAUGUUUAUGUUGGUAUCCUGGCAAAAUUCCCAUAUGGGUAACUACAUUCUAUCUACCCCAAAAUUCCCCAUGCAGCAUCAGCGGGAUGUAGCACUGAUUUGUUGUGUAGAGUGGUUAUGCACUGUUAUAACAGUUGCCACGUUCCACUCCAGAGACAGCUGCAUUGUUUGUUCUGGUAGAUACAUAAUUGACAAAGUGCUUUGGAAUGGAGGUAAAUUUAAGGUAUUAAUCUAGUCAAGAGAAUGAUUUGCUAUGCUGGAGAAUGUUUUUCAAUUAUUUCUCCCCAGGGGUUCCUCCCCAAAUUGGCUUGUUUGAUAAUCUUGGUCCAAGAAAACUCUAGAGAGAAGAGACUUCUUGCUUCUGCUCCAAGGUGGUUGUGGAUCUGACUUCUCUUUCAUCAAGAGCAAGGACUCUAGGAAAAGCCCCUUCUCCCCCACAUCUCCAUGCCUGGAGGCUUCCCAGCUCUGAUCUGAAGGGACUUACAUUUCACCUCCAUACUGAGGGAAUGAUGUCUCUAAUUUCACCUCCCUUCCUCUGCCGAGGCUGAGUAUCAUUUCAUAAAAAUAACACAGAAAGCAACUAGACUCUGGGAAAAAAAAAUAAUUAUGGGAAAAACAAAUCAGUGCCAAAGGGGCUUUUGUGAAAAUAUCAGGUUUGGAGAGAAGGCUGCUGAGUUUGGGACAUGCGCCCUUCUGUCCUUUCGCUGGGCAGGUUAGGUCUGCAAUACAAUCUCAAGCAUGUUUAUUUCCUUUCAAACCUCUGGCUUCCCAUGGAAAUGCUACCCUCCCCCAUUUAUUAGGAAGUGUUUGGGUAUCUUUUCCCUCUUUGUGUUCAGUGUGUGUGGGGGGGAAACACAUUAUUAUGCUUUAUUUUCUCAAGAGUUUUCUCUCUCAGCCCUGUUUUUUUUUAUGUGCUCCCAAACGUCAUCACUUGAGCCGUCUGCCUCUGCUAGCCCCUUUAUCCCACUCUUAAUCUCAUCUGUAGACUGCAGAAUUUGCAGGGCAAGUUUGUUUGAUCAUUUAUUUGUAAAUUCCUCCAUGCAGGGCCUCAUGUCUGUCUGUCUCUCUUGUAAAGCGGUGUGUGUACAUUGAUGGCACUAACAAUAAAUCUGUAGGAGAGGGAAUUUUGAUCUUACUCGGUCAAUCUUUGGUCUCUCUGUGGAGAUAGUGCCAUUUGUGAUGGGAGUUCAUGUGAUGUGGAUGUGCAUUCAUUAGGAAUUGGACAGCAACUCACCAGCUGACUUCAUGGGGGGUAAUAACUUUUGGUUAGGAGGCCAGAUUUGAACCACCAAACUAGAGAGGAAAGGGUUCAUGUUUUAUUAGCAAUCUACCAUAGUCACGCCUCCGUAAUGAUUAGCGCUGAUCAGAAAUGUUCGGAUGAAACCGUUUAGUUUGAAAAUGCCAAUUCAUAGAACCCCCAGGGUUUCUUGGAACCAUGUUGGAUUCAAUGGACUUUCAGCAAAUCAAGGGCAGGGUUCAAUGGGAAAUUUGCGUGGUUUCCUGCCAACUCACUGGGUGGGCUGCUGGGGGAGCUUCCUCUUCCAGUUUCCAGGCUCUCUGCCAUGGAGUAGGAAGUGUGGAAGUCCUGGGAUGAGCUCACACAGUCCAUGGGUGUGGGACUCAGGGGCCAGCUAGGAGUCCAGCAGCUGCUGAGUGAAAUUGACAUUUAUUACUGAGACAAGAUGGAUGAAGUAAUCUCUUUUGCUGGACCAACUUCUGAUGGUGAGAGAGACAAGCUUUCAUUCCUGCGAAUACAGAACAAAACCACAUUUUGAAAUAACAAAAUUUCCCGUGAACCGGAAAUCCCACAUUUCAGCCAGCUCUAACAAAGAUGCAAGAAUCUUACUUGCUAGAGAUGGAGAAGACCAAUAAGAUUCCAUUCAGCCCAGUUCCCAGAGGGCCAGUGCAGAGAGAGGCCUGAACGUGCGGUCAAGUGCACCCGAGAGGUUUGGAAACUAGAAGUCAAACAAAAAACCCCAAAUGUACAAUUAUUUUGUCUCAGCUGCCAUGUCAGUCCUUGGUGUUCCCAUCCCUCCCUGAGCUGGCUGCAAAAUGAAGAUAAGCGCUGGACCGGAAGCCAUAUAAUAAUAAUACUUCGUGCUAGAGUGGGUCAGAAAUGGGUGUCCCUCCCGCACCCCCACGACAGGAAAAUUUAGACUUUUUGUUGAAACAUCAAAAACCGCAAAAGAGAAUGUGGCUGAAAACUGCUUAAAAAAAAAAUGAGGGCGAGAAAUGGGGAUUUGUGUUCAUUUUUCCAACCAACCAAAUAAAUAAAUCCACAUUUUUUUUUCUGUAGAGACUUCCAUUUAGUCAAAAACCCAAUUUCCCAUCCAAAGACGUUCCAGCUGAAAACUUUCACCCACCCCUGCACAGCUCUUACAAAUCACCUUUUAUCCCUGGAUCUCGGAGUGCUGCCUCUGAGAAUUAGUUUGCCCAGUCCAGUGCAUCCUAUGCAUCUUCAUUCCUAUGCUGUUCAAUCCAUGAGCAAAUCUGUUUAUUUGUGAUUACAUUUGCAUUCCAGUAGGAGUUAGAGGCCCCAGCCUCACGUACCAGGUGUUGCACACAGGUAAUCCCUCCUCUGUUUGCUUUUUCUGCUCUCUGUUAAUGUCCGUCUUCAUUUGACCCUGCAAGUCAGUGGAAGUGAAUAAGCCAGAGGAUUGACUACAUGGUGUCAGUUUACUCAUGGAUAAAACUGAACUGAGGCUCUGAACUGAACCUGCGUUCUAAUCCUAGCUCUGACUUUA